rnacentral:tRNA from 1 species
GCCGCGAUCGCUUAGUUGGUUAAAGCAAGGGUCUCAUAAUUCUCGCAUCUCAAAGAGAAAAGACGUGUGAGCCUUGAUGAAGGUGUAAUCCCUAGCCCAGAGUUCGAGUCUCUGUCAUGGCA